UGGCAGAAAGUUGCUGACAAAUUAAACUCGACAGUGAAGCAACCCUGUCAGAUGACUGUGGUUUGGAGGAAGUCCCUGCAAAGAGGCCGGCAGAGAGGCCUGAUACAGAGGUGGGCAGUCUUGUAAUUAAUUUUACUUCCUAUAUGACAUGUAUUGACCAUUAAAUGUUGUCUCUACAAUUGAAACAGGGUGACAUUCGUUUGCUCUAUAAGAGAAGUCUCCAGCAAAAAAUGGAGUAUACUGAGCUAAAGAAACAAAAGCUUC